rnacentral:rRNA from 1 species
UCAGUCGACUCCUACGGGGAGGCAGCAUGGGGGAAUAUUGCACAAUGGGGGAAACCCUGAUGCAGCCAUGCCGCGUGUGUGAAGAAGGACCUUCGGGUUGUAAAGCACUUUCAGUAGGGAGGAAGGUAGUGUAGUUAAUACCUGCAUUAUUUGACGUUACCUACAGAAGAAGCACCGGCUAACUCCGUGCCAGCAGCCGCGGUAAUACGGAGGGUGCGAGCGUUAAUCGGAAUUACUGGGCGUAAAGCGCAUGCAGGCGGCCUGUUAAGUCAGAUGUGAAAGCCCGGGGCUUAACCUCGGAAUUGCAUUUGAAACUGGCAGGCUAGAGUCUUGUAGAGGGGGGGUAGGAAUUUCAGGUGUAGCGGUGAAAUGCGUAGAGAUCUGAAGGAAUACCAGUGGCGAAGGCGGCCCCCUGGACAAAGACUGACGCUCAGAUGCGAAAGCGUGGGGAGCAAACAGGAUUAGAUACCCUGGUAG